GAUUUGUUGCCUUGUACACUUGCACCAACCAGGGACUGAACCUGCAACCUAGGCAUGUACCCUGUCCGGGUGUCAACCCCACAACCCUUAGGUUUACAUGCCAAUACUCCAACCAAAAGCCACAGUGACAAGGGUGAAUUUUGCUGGGUGACUUUAAUGUUAAGUAUGCAAUUUAAUUAGGCAGAUAAAGAAAUAAACUUCAUUGUCAUGGGAUUGUAUAGUCUCUUUAGUAGAUACUGAUAUAUCCCUUAACAGAAUUCUAAUCUUACAUACAUUGGGUUUUCAAAUAUUUUUGAAUGUGAAUGUCAAGGGUCUAAUUGUUGAGGUACAUACUAAAAUUUAGAAAUCUUAGGUUAUUGAAGUUUGAAGUGAACAAGAUGUGUUAUUACUGUUUCUUAGAAUCCAGAAAUAAUGGAAAUUAGUUGUAUUCCAUUGUCUGACUCGAGGGCCUUGGAGAUUGUGUUGAUUUAUGAGCUGGGCUCCCUAUUUUUCAGAAACAUUGCAUUAAUGAUUAAUGUGCAUCGGUUAUGUGAAUGAAGCCAAAGUUGUACAUUUAAUUGUGCCCUUUUUCUGUUACUGUUUUCUUAUAUGCUAGCCGUUAAAAAUGGAUCCCAGUGGUUAAAGAAAAUGGGCAUUGGGGGGGUGUUUCACCACCACUACUAGGAAAAAGAAAAACCCGUAAAUAACAUGUCUUAAUUAUAAUCAUCUGUACAUAGAAUUUCUCCUUAAGAUAUUUUAGGUGUUUACAACAGUGAGCUGGUUUACAGCACUCUUAAAAUGCAGAAGAUAAUUUUAAUUCUUGCAAAUAGAAAAGGGUUGGUUGGGCAAAUGGUGGGUUUUAAUGCUUUUCCCUCAGGAAUGAUUUUUCCUAAUCUCUUGGCUUUGCCCAGCUUCCUGAGUCAACUAUAAUGAGCCUUCCCUUUAAUAAAAGCAUAUAAUAGUACACCGUACAGUGUACUGUUCAGUGAAUUUUCAAUUCACCUACGCGUGGAUUUAAUGCAUCUACAGCAUGAACUAUUUGGCAAUAACUUUUUGGUACUGUAAUUGCAAAUUCCAUGGAAUGUAAGGAGCCACAGAAAAAAAUACCAUUCUCACCCACCAGGACUUGGUAAAUUAGCUAGUCCUUGACUAUAGAAGGUCAUAAUUUUUGUCUUUAUUUGUACUAGAAGGGGAAAACUAGAACCUUCGAGGAUAACUGGAAGACAGACUUCCAGGAUAACUAGAAGACUGCCAUGGGGGGAAUGUUAAAUACGUUUUGAAUUUUUUUGAAAGUUGAAUAUCAUCACUAACAUCUGCAUAGAAAGGAACUUAUGAUAAAACACAGAAUUUAUCUGUUUAAUAUCAGUAUACAAUUAUGCAUAAAUUUGGUGACGAUAUUCAUCUUACCACAAUUAAAGUGUUUCUUCCUUUUCAUGCCCCACAUCACGCCAGUUACUGCAGUAGCUUCGUAACUUGGACUUUUUGACCCUUAAAUUUUUCAGUCUUUAAUUGCUUUCUGUGGGUUUUUCAAUUAUAAAAUUAGUAUCAUUUUAAGCUAAAAACCAUUUGAUGUCAUCUCAGUGUGUAAACCUUAGUUAAAAUGAACUAAAGGAAUUCCCUAUGAGAUGCAUUUUGCUUUGCCUUAUCCUACCCAUUGUUCACUUAUCUACCAUAAUAUCCGAUACCCUAGCAAAAAAUUAUAAACUACUCUUGUCCUCAUUGAAUGCAGCAUAUUCUUUUAGGCUAGGAACUCAUUCUGCUUUACCGUGUUGUCUGCCAGAAUAAAUGCUUAGCAUUUAGCAUUGUGUAUGGUGUACAUAGCACAAGUGUAAUAAGUGCUCUUUUAAGUGUAUAGAUGAAAGCUGAUGACUGCAUAUAGAAAUUUGGUUAGUAUAAGCCAAUUUAUUUUAUGCCUGCUGUUGAAACCUAAUUCAAUCUAAGAUGCCUUAAAUAUGUGCUGAACAGAAAAGUGGUCAGAUUGUAAUGAUUAGAAGAGUUAGACUAUUAAUCUUUCUAUAUAUUGCUCACAAUCUAAGCUGCCUUAAAAGUGUACUAAACAGCCCUGGCUGGUGUGGCUCAGUGGAUUGAGUGUUGGCCUGUGAACCAAAGUGUUGCCAUUUAGAUUCCCAGUCAGGGCACAUGCCUGGGUUGCAGACCAGGUUUCCAGUUGGGGGCACUUGAAUGGCACCAGACAUUGAUGUUUCCCUCUCUUUCUCCCUCCCCCUCUCUAAAAUUAAAUAAAAUCUCUUCAGAAAGUGUGCUGAACAGGAGAGUUUAGAUGGUAAGGAACCAGAAGAGUUAGAUUGUUAACCUUUUUAUACAUUGCUCAAGUCACCUUUUGUGUGUUGUUUUGGAUGUUUUGUUUUUUAACAUAAAACGUGUGUGCACUUUAGUAUGCAUUUGUAAUUCUGAAGCCAAAUUCUGCAUAACUACUAUCCAGGUCAAGAAAUUGAGAACUCUGGAAGCCCACGUGUAUUGUACCAUGUUUUGUUUUGUUUUUUUUUCCCAGAAUAAGAUUUACUUUAAAUUUUUUAUUUUGUUGUUUAUGCUGUUACAGUUGUCCCCACUUUGUCCCCUUUUGUGCAUCUUCACCCAGCCCAACCCCCACCCCCAGAGUACUAUGUUUUUAAGAGAAAAUGAAAAUGAAGGGAACCUGGAGCUGGAGGGGGGAAAUAGUGUCAAGUAAAUACGGUAUGUUUACUGUAGAAAACGGAUGACUAAGAUGGUUCUUUGAUGGUCCUCAAGUACUUAAAGGGCUUUUCCUUCACAGAGGAAAUAGAGACAAACUCAAGUCGCAGGACCAGGGAAGAGCCUUUGAUAACACCGUCUAACAUUUUAACAUAAGCCAUAUUUACAGGACAGAACUGGAGCCAAGUAUGGAGAAUCUAAGUAGCUCCCUGUCAGGAAUGCUGCACUACUUGAAGCUUAACAUUCUGCUAGUUCUCUGCAUCACGUAUGCAUGAUUAAGAGCUACAGCUUAACAUGUGUGGUUUAUUAAAUUGGAUGUUACCAACUGAGAUUGUCAGUGAUAAUUU